GACGAACGCUGGCGGCGUGCCUAAUACAUGCAAGUCGAGCGGAGUUGAUGAGAUGCUUGCAUCUCUGAAACUUAGCGGCGGACGGGUGAGUAACACGUGGGUAACCUGCCUUUAAGACUGGGAUAACAUUCGGAAACGGAUGCUAAUACCGGAUAAUUGGUUUGAUCGCAUGAUCGAACUUGGAAAGAUGGAGCAAUCUAUCACUUAGAGAUGGACCCGCGGCGCAUUAGCUAGUUGGUGAGGUAACGGCUCACCAAGGCGACGAUGCGUAGCCGACCUGAGAGGGUGAUCGGCCACACUGGGACUGAGACACGGCCCAGACUCCUACGGGAGGCAGCAGUAGGGAAUCUUCCGCAAUGGACGAAAGUCUGACGGAGCAACGCCGCGUGAGUGAUGAAGGUUUUCGGAUCGUAAAGCUCUGUUGCCAGGGAAGAACGCUUGGGAUAGUAACUGCUCCCAAGGUGACGGUACCUGAGAAGAAAGCCCCGGCUAACUACGUGCCAGCCGCCGCCGUAAUAC
rnacentral:rRNA from 1 species